AGUGAACGCUGGCGGUAGGCCUAACACAUGCAAGUCGAACGGCAGCACAGUAAGUGCUUGCUCUUACGGGUGGCGAGUGGCGGACGGGUGCGGAAUACAUCGGAAUCUACUUUUUCGUGGGGGAUAACGCAGGGACUCUUACGCUAAUACCGCAUACGACCUACGGGUGAAAGCAGGGGAUCUUCGGACCUUGCGCGAUCGAAUGAGCCGAUGUCGGAUUAGCUAGUUGGCGGGGUAAAGGCCCACCAAGGCGACGAUCCGUAGCUGGUCUGAGAGGAUGAUCAGCCACACUGGAACUGAGACACGGUCCAGACUCCUACGGGAGGCAGCAGUGGGGAAUAUUGGACAAUGGGCGCAAGCCUGAUCCAGCCAUGCCGCGUGUGUGAAGAAGGCCUUCGGAUUGUAAAGCACUUUUGUUUGGGAAGAAGAGCAGCAGGUUAAUACCUCGCUGUUCUGACGUUACCCAAAGAAUAAGCACCGGCUAACUUCGUG
rnacentral:rRNA from 1 species